UAUUUCUCACCUUAAAUGUUUUUUUAGAAAUAUAUUGUAGUGUGUAAAACGGAUGUGGGGACAUGGAGGAACUCACGUGCUACCAAAACAAAGAUCAGAGAAGCUUGGAUAACAACACACUGAAAGGUUGACCAAUCUGAGCUGAGCAGCCUGCCUGAGGACACGUGCAGGGAGCGAGCGACAAGCUGGGUGCUGGAGAAGUGGUUUUGCAGAGGAGACGCUCAGGGUUUGACCUCAAGCUCUUCCUGAAGGUGUUGGAGGGUCUAGAGCUGUGGGAACUCUGUCUGCCUGAGCUGUGUUUGGCCAUUCAGAUUACGACGGAUCAUCCAGAUGCUCAGGGAGAUGUGUGAUACCUGGCUGUGUUCGAGGAUAACUCUGCCACCAAAGCACCACCAUGCCCCUCAUACACCAGGUGAACCAACCUCAUGAAGGCCUGAAGGAAAGCUGUAGUCUGGAACAAAUAGAUAAAAAGA